UGGGGAAUUUUGGACAAUGGGGGGAACCCUGAUCCAGCAACGCCGCGUGAAUGAAGAAGGCCUUCGGGUUGUAAAGUUCUUUUGUCGCAGAGCAAAGGCUAUAUGCUAAUACCAUAUAGUGUUGAGAGUAUGCGAAGAAUAAGCACCGGCUAACUACGUGCCAGCAGCCGCGGUAAUACGUAGGGUGCGAGCGUUAAUCGGAAUUACUGGGCGUAAAGGGUGCGCAGGCGGAUAGUUAAGUUAGGAGUGAAAUCCCCGGGCUCAACCUGGGAAUAGCUUUUAAGACUGGCUAUCUAGAGUUUGUCAGAGGGGGGUGGAAUUCCAAGUGUAGCAGUGAAAUGCGUAGAGAUUUGGAGGAACACCAAUGGCGAAGGCAGCCCCCUGGGAUAAAACUGACGCU
rnacentral:rRNA from 1 species